rnacentral:rRNA from 1 species
AUGCCCCGAGGCAGCUCGCAGCGGUGCACCGCCUCCGGGCCGCCGGCCUCGAUGGUCUCCGCCUCCGCCUCCGAGGACGAACUCGCCCUCCUCACCGGCCCGCAGCUCGUGAUCCACCUUACCAAGACCCACCGCAGAGCCGACUUCGAUGCGGUUUCGCGCAUCCUCGCCGCACGGGACCGCGAGAGGGCCACGCUCGAGGCGAAUCUGGCGGCUGCGGAGGCCGAACUCGAGGCAGCGAGGGCGCGCUUGGUGGGGGUCGACGAGGUCCACUCCAACCUAAAGGCCGCGCUCAGGGAGCUCAAAGCGCAGGAGGAGAAGACAAAGGCGCUAGCUGGCGCGUACCGCCGGCCGCGGGACGAGACCGAAGAGAUGGCGCUCGUGCCCGGUGACGCCGCCCCGGAAGCGGUGCAUCGGGACGAGGGGCGUGUCAAGGAGGCGAAGGAAGGGGAGGGGAACGACGACGACGGCGACGACAUUAUUGACCUGUGCAGCGACGGGGAGGAAGGGGAGAGGACGGCGGUGGCCGGCGAGAUGGAAAUGGAAGGGGACGAAGAUGGGGAUGACAAAGUGCCGCUGAGCCAGCGCUUCAAGCGACUACGGCGAGCCGAGCCCGGUGAGUUGGAAUCGGGGAAGGGAGAUGGACAGGGGCAAAUCGAUUCUGUCAGUAUUCUGGGGAAUGAUCAGCAGAAAUCUUCGUUUGUAAAGAUGGAGGAGCAGAUGACAAGAACUGGGAAGAUGGCCUGUAUGCCCGAGGCUUCAAAGGUGGCAGCUUCCGUGCAGGAGAGUGCAGUUGUGAAAUCAGAAAAGUUUGAUGAUGAGAUACCCAGGACAAUGCUGCUUCCUUCUCCGGGGCUUCUUAGAAAGAGCCCUCUACAGAAGGGUUCUUCCAAGAGUGACUAUUGUAAAGCUGGAACUGGCGAAAAAGAAGGCUCAUUUGAUGGUGUUCCAGCUAGUGGAGUCAGUCAGCUAUUGAAGGGGGAUGCAAAAAUGAACAAGACACCAAUGGUUGAAUCAUCGGACAAAUGUGGCAGCAAGGUCAUUGGUGCUGAAAAAUGUUCGCCUCUAUUAAGACCGAGUGAGGAACGGAUGAUAUCGAGGGUUGGAGUUCCAUUUGAACCUUGCAAUGGCAACAACAAGUAUGUCCAGGUAAAAAGGGAGGCGGGCUCGUUGCCUUCAACAAUUACCAGUGAGUGGGACUCUGAAGGACAUCUGUGUAGUUCAGUUUGCAACCACGUGGAGAUAGCUAUGCAAGCUCUCUGUGCUCUUUAUCGCCAAAGGAAGUUAGCAAUGGGGGAUGCAAGAGAGGAAUCCAGGGCACGUACUUUGGCGGAAUUUCUUUUGGAUGGUGAUCUGCAGGGACCAAUGAGAAGAACUGUUGCGGAACUAGAGAAUCAUGAUGCGACAAACCCACUUUUUCUUAUCCAAGUAACAAUCAGUUGCUCUGGGCAGUUGUACGAUAUUUUCAGGAAGAAAGAAGAUCCAUACUUCUGUUGA